UAGCAUCAUUGUCUAGUUUGAGAGGUACAUACAUUAUGGGUUACAAUAACAUGUACUUAUGAGAAAGAUCCUUUGUAAAGAGACAUGAACUCAUUGACUGUCCUUUUUUACCCAGAUCGGCAACCUCUUGAAAGAACGUUAUACUGACCCGUCCUAUGAAAGAACAAUAUUUUUUCAAAUUUCUCUGAGCAACAACAGUGUAACAGCAUCUCAGGGAACCCAGAAGGUGGAAAUACUGCAACAGUUCAAGGUGCCUGCGGAGGGGCCUAACAUCUGUUUCGCAGGCAACGCCACUGUUGAGGAUGUCAUAAGAGACGCACUCAGCCCCCAGUUUGGCCAGGUUUCCAAUAUCAACAUCACAGGCAGUAUCAGUACUGUGGUGACCUUCCAAACGGACAUUCAGUAUGAUGUUGCGCUCAACAACCGUACCAGCGAAGAGUUCCAAAAUCUGGAAAAACAGAUUAUUGAUGUGAUUGAUGAAAUCUCCAAAACCAAAUAUGGAAUAGUCUAUAAAAGAACAAUUGUUAUUGGUUUCAGGUAAGCUAGCUAUGGCUUUAACGUGACCUUUCCCUAUGGCAAUGUGGGUUGGUUUUAUUAGGAUGUAGAUAAAGUGGUUUUAUCAGGACGUAGAUACAGUGGUUUUAUCAGGACGUACAGUAGAUACAGUGGUUU
rnacentral:lncRNA from 1 species